GAUGAGCAUGCGUCCCAUUAGCUAGUUGGUAAGGUAACGGCUUACCAAGGCGACGAUGGGUAGGGGUCCUGAGAGGGAGAUCCCCCACACUGGUACUGAGACACGGACCAGACUCCUACGGGAGGCAGCAGUGAGGAAUAUUGGUCAAUGGGCGCAAGCCUGAACCAGCCAUGCCGCGUGCAGGAUGACGGUCCUAUGGAUUGUAAACUGCUUUUGUACGGGAAGAAACAGCGAUUCGUGAAUCGCCUUGACGGUACCGUAAGAAUAAGGAUCGGCUAACUCCGUGCCAGCAGCCGCGGUAAUACGGAGGAUCCAAGCGUUAUCCGGAAUCAUUGGGUUUAAAGGGUCCGUAGGCGGUUUGGUAAGUCAGUGGUGAAAGCCCAUCGCUCAACGGUGGAACGGCCAUUGAUACUGCCAGACUUGAAUUAUUAGGAAGUAACUAGAAUAUGUAGUGUAGCGGUGAAAUGCUUAGAGAUUACAUGGAAUACCAAUUGCGAAGGCAGGUUACUACUAAUGGAUUGACGCUGAUGGA
rnacentral:rRNA from 1 species